rnacentral:rRNA from 1 species
GACAAACGCUGGCGGCGUGCCUAAUACAUGCAAGUCGAACGCUGAAGGAGGAGCUUGCUCUUCUGGAUGAGUUGCGAACGGGUGAGUAACGCGUAGGUAACCUGCCUGGUAGCGGGGGAUAACUAUUGGAAACGAUAGCUAAUACCGCAUAAGAGUAGAUGUUGCAUGACAUUUACUUAAAAGGUGCAAUUGCAUCACUACCAGAUGGACCUGCGUUGUAUUAGCUAGUUGGUGGGAUAACGGCUUACCAAGGCGACGAUACAUAGCCGACCUGAGAGGGUGAUCGGCCACACUGGGACUGAGACACGGCCCAGACUACUACGGGAGGCAGCAGUAGGGAAUCUUCGGCAAUGGACGGAAGUCUGACCGAGCAACGCCGCGUGAGUGAAGAAGGGUUUCGGAUCGUAAAGCUCUGUUGUAAGAGAAGAACGAGUGUGAGAGUGGAAAGUUCACACUGUGACGGUAUCUUACCAGAAAGGGACGGCUAACUACGUG